rnacentral:rRNA from 1 species
UACAGAGGUCUCAAGCGUUGUUCGGAUUCAUUGGGCGUAAAGGGUGCGUAGGCGGCGCGGUAAGUCGGGUGUGAAAUCUUGGAGCUUAACUCCGAAACUGCAUUCGAUACUGCCGUGCUUGAGGACUGGAGAGGAGACUGGAAUUUACGGUGUAGCGGUGAAAUGCGUAGAUAUCGUAAGGAAGACCAGUGGCGAAGGCAGGUCUCUGGACAGGUCCUGACGCUGAGGCACGAAAGUCAGGGGAGCAAACGGG